rnacentral:rRNA from 1 species
UACGUAGGGUCCGAGCGUUGUCCGGAAUUACUGGGCGUAAAGAGCUCGUAGGUGGUUUGUCGCGUUGUUCGUGAAAACUCACAGCUCAACUGUGGGCGUGCGGGCGAUACGGGCAGACUAGAGUACUGCAGGGGGAGACUGGAAUUCCUGGUGUAGCGGUGGAAUGCGCAGAUAUCAGGAGGAACACCGGUGGCGAAGGCGGGUCUCUGGGCCGUUACUGACGCUGAGGAGCGAAAGCGUGGGGAGCGAACAGG